UACCUGGAGGAAGAGAAAGCAAAUGCGAUUCCCUGAGUAGCGGCGAGCGAAACGGGAACAGCCCAAACCAAGAGGCUUGCCUCUUGGGGUUGUAGGACACUCUAUACGGAGUUACAAAAGGACAGAUUAGGCGAAGCGACUUGGAACGGUCCGCCACAGCGGGUAACAGCCCCGUAGCCGAAAACCUGUCCCCUCCAGAGUGGAUCCUGAGUACGGCGGAACACGUGAAAUUCCGUCGGAAUCCGGGAGGACCAUCUCCCAAGGCUAAAUACUCCCUAGUG
rnacentral:rRNA from 1 species